rnacentral:rRNA from 1 species
CAGGGAAUCUUCCGCAAUGGACGCAAGUCUGACGGAGCAACGCCGCGUGAGUGAAGAAGGAUUUCGGUUCGUAAAACUCUGUUGUUAGAGAAGAACAGCGCAUAGAGUAACUGUUAUGCGUGUGACGGUAUCUAACCAGAAAGCCACGGCUAACUACGUGCCAGCAGCCGCGGUAAUACGUAGGUGGCAAGCGUUGUCCGGAUUUAUUGGGCGUAAAGCGAGCGCAGGCGGUCAAUUAAGUCUGAUGUGAAAGCCCCCGGCUCAACCGGGGAGGGUCAUUGGAAACUGGUUGACUUGAGUGCAGAAGAGGAGAGUGGAAUUCCAUGUGUAGCGGUGAAAUGCGUAGAUAUAUGGAGGAACACCAGUGGCGAAGGCGACUCUCUGGUCUGUAACUGACGCUGAGGCUCGAAAGCGUGGGUAGCAAACAGG